CUCUUUUAUUUAUAUCUAUUAUUUGCGUAGUAAGUUUAAUUGAGUAGAAAUUAAAAGGCACACGUUUGUUUUAAAAACCCUCUUGGUUUGUUAUUCCACGCUAAUAAUUCCGUUGCAGCAAUUCUAACAGAUUGUACUAUCUAUGUAGUCAACUAUGAUUUUUCUCUGCACACAAUUUUCAUUACUUGCGAUUCAAGAAUGUUUUGUAAAGUUUUAUACUUUGUAUAAAAGAUUGCAAAAAGACUCUGAUUUUGAAAAAUCACCAAUUCACCCCCCCCCCCUCUUGGUGUAAAAAGAAACCUGCCUGUUUUCCAACAACCUCCUCUCUAUUGAAACUACCCAGAUUAUUGAGAUUGAUCUGCAUUCCUCCUGAAUAUAGGACAAUCUCUUUCAUAAGGCCCCUCCCUACUACACAAAUUACAUCUUUUGUAACCUCAUAACUAAGGACAAACCCUUUUCACAUAUGGUCCCUCACAUUGAUAACAUUGUACCCCACUUGGCUGACUCCUCUAUUAUGAAAGGUUACUCCAAAACCCACGAGAAGGAGGCCUAGUGUAAGGCUUUUUUUAUCCACUCGACCUAAUUUGGACCCAAAUGGCCCUCUCGCUCUCUGAAAUGGCCCAUACUGCUUAUCCACUUCAUUCUUCAUCUUCUUCAGCACUUUUUCCCUUUCUACCAAGGCAAGGAACUCAUUGAUACAAAGUGCAAGCACUAUCAACAUACCAAGGCAAGGAACUUCAUUCCUUAUCCAUCUUUAGAGUACGAAACCUAAUGAGAUGUUUAAACUUCUCAACAUACUCAGAAACUAACAUCCCUCCUUAGACUAGCUAUAGAAACUCCACUUCCAUAGCAAAUUUGACACUAUUUGAAAAAUAUUCUUCAUAAAACUUUUUUCUUGAAUAUAUCCCAAGUAAUGGCUUCUUCACUCUCCUGCAGCAAGAUAUUCACACUACUUCACCAAUGGCUAGCUUCUCUAGUAACUAAGUACUCAUAAAAACC
rnacentral:lncRNA from 1 species